rnacentral:rRNA from 1 species
AGGACGAACGCUGGCGGCGUGCCUAACACAUGCAAGUCGAACGGAGUCAAGAAGCUUGCUUUUGACUUAGUGGCGGACGGGUGAGUAACGCGUGAGUAACCUGCCUCUGAGAGGGGAAUAACGUUCUGAAAAGAACGCUAAUACCGCAUAACGUAUCGAAGCCGCAUGACUUUGAUACCAAAGAUUUUAUCGCUCGGAGAUGGACUCGCGUCCGAUUAGUUAGUUGGUGAGGUAACGGCUCACCAAGACCGCGAUCGGUAGCCGGACUGAGAGGUUGAUCGGCCACAUUGGGACUGGGACACGGCCCAGACUCCUACGGGAGGCAGCAGUGGGGGAUAUUGCGCAAUGGGGGCAACCCUGAACCGCAGCAACGCCGCGUGAAGGAUGAAGGUUUUCGGAUUGUAAACUUCUUUUAUCAGGGACGAAGCUUGACGGUACCUGAUGAAUAAGCUCCGGCUAACUACGUGCCAGCCGCGGC